CACGUAGGGGGCGAGCGUUGUUCGGAAUCAUUGGGCGUAAAGGGCGCGCAGGCGGCCAUGUAAGUCUGGUGUAAAAUGGUUGUGCUCAAGACAAUCAUGCGCUGGAAACUGCAUGGCUCGAGUCAACGAGGGGAUGCCGGAAUUCCAGGUGUAGGGGUGAAAUCUGUAGAUAUCUGGAAGAACACCGAUGGCGAAGGCAGGCAUCUGGCGACUGACUGACGCUGAGGCGCGAAGGUGCGGGGAGCAAACA
rnacentral:rRNA from 1 species